AGUGAACGCUGGCGGUAGGCCUAACACAUGCAAGUCGAACGGCAGCACAGUAAGAGCUUGCUCUUACGGGUGGCGGGUGGCGGACGGGUGAGGAAUACAUCGGAAUCUACUUUUUCGUGGGGGAUAACGUAGGGAAACUUACGCUAAUACCGCAUACGACCUACGGGUGAAAGCAGGGGAUCUUCGGACCUUGCGCGAUUGAAUGAGCCGAUGUCGGAUUAGCUAGUUGGCGGGGUAAAGGCCCACCAAGGCGACGAUCCGUAGCUGGUCUGAGAGGAUGAUCAGCCACACUGGAACUGAGACACGGUCCAGACUCCUACGGGAGGCAGCAGUGGGGAAUAUUGGACAAUGGGCGCAAGCCUGAUCCAGCCAUACCGCGUGGGUGAAGAAGGCCUUCGGGUUGUAAAGCCCUUUUGUUGGGAAAGAAAAGCAGCAGGUUAAUACCCCGCUGUUCUGACGGUACCCAAAGAAUAAGCACCGGCUAACUUC
rnacentral:rRNA from 1 species